GCCCUUGUAGCUCAGUCGGUAGAGCACAUCCAUGGUAAGGAUGUGGUCAGCGGUUCGAUUCCGCUCGAGGGCU
rfam:Treponema caldarium DSM 7334, complete genome.